rnacentral:rRNA from 1 species
GGGGAAUAUGGCACAAUGGGGGAAACCCUGAUGCAGCAACGCGGCGUGAAGGAAGACGGUUUUCGGAUGGUAAACUUCUGUUCUUAGUGAAGAAUAAUGACGGUAGUUAAGGAGCAAGCCACGGCUAACUACGUGCCAGCAGCCGCGGUAAUACGUAGGUGGCAAGCGUUGUCCGGAAUUACUGGGUGUAAAGGGAGCGUAGGCGGGAUGCCAAGUCAGCUGUGAAAACUAUGGGCUUAACCUGUAGACUGCAGUUGAAACUGGUAUUCUUGAGUGAAGUAGAGGUUGGCGGAAUUCCGAGUGUAGCGGUGAAAUGCGUAGAUAUUCGGAGGAACACCGGUGGCGAAGGCGGCCAACUGGGCUUUAACUGACGCUGAGGCUCGAAAGUGUGGGGAGCAAACAGGAUUAGAUACCCUGGUAGUCCACACUGUAAACGAUGAUAAUCUAGGUGUGGGGGGUC